GUGGCACGCUUCGCCUUUGGCUAAGAUCAAGUGUAGUAUCUGUUCUUAUCAGUUUAAUAUCUGGAUACGGCCCCUUAUCUGGGACCACAUAUAUUAAAUUGAUUUUUGGAACAGGGAGAUGGAAUAGGGGCUUGUUCGGUUCACCCACUCCAUCGACCUGGUAUUGCAGUGUAAUUUCCAGAGCGUACUUUC